UACGAAGGGGGCUAGCGUUGUUCGGAAUCACUGGGCGUAAAGGGCGCGUAGGCGGCCUGGUAAGUAGGGGGUGAAAUCCUGCGGCUUAACCGCAGGGCUGCCUUCUAAACUGUCAGGCUCGAGCACAGUAGAGGCAGGUGGAAUUCCCGGUGUAGCGGUGGAAUGCGUAGAGAUCGGGAAGAACAUCAGUGGCGAAGGCGGCCUGCUGGGCUGUUGCUGACGCUGAGGCGCGACAGCGUGGGGAGCAAACAGG
rnacentral:rRNA from 1 species